CCUACGGGAGGCAGCAGUGGGGAAUAUUGCACAAUGGGCGGAAGCCUGAUGCAGCGACGCCGCGUGGGGGAUGAAGGCUUUCGGGUCGUAAACUCCUUUCAGCAGGGACGCGGUACCUGCAGAAGAAGCACCGGCUAACUACGUGCCAGCAGCCGCGGUAAUACGUAGGGUGCGAGCGUUGUCCGGAAUUAUUGGGCGUAAAGAGCUUGUAGGCGGUUUGUCGCGUCUGCCGUGAAAGCCCAGGGCUUAACCCUGGGUCUGCGGUGGGUACGGGCAGACUAGAGUGUGGUAGGGGAGACUGGAAUUCCUGGUGUAGCGGUGAAAUGCGCAGAUAUCAGGAGGAACACCGAUGGCGAAGGCAGGUCUCUGGCCCUACUGACGCUGAGAAGCGAAAGCAUGGGGAGCAAACAGGAUUAGAUACCCUUGUAGUC
rnacentral:rRNA from 1 species